GCGAGCCCAGUCAGCAGCGGGCCACCCACGGCGGCGGCGAGAGCAGCCAAAGUAGCAGCAGCAGCUCUGGAGGACGGGCUCGGGGUGCCGGGAGUGUGGCUGGUAAAAGGAAAAGGCGCAGCAGCUUCCCAGUAGGACGCUGUCACCCCCCUGUGCUGCGCACUGUGCUGGAGGCGCUGCAGGCAGGGGAGCAGCGCCGGGGCACGUUGGUGGCAGCCAUCAAGCUCUACAUCCUGAAAAAGUACCCAACGAUGGAUGUCCUUCGCUUCAAGUACCUGCUGAAGCAGGCGCUGGCCACUGGCACGCGCCGUGGCCUCCUUGCCAGGCCCCUGAACUCCAAAGCCAGGGGGGCCACUGGCAGCUUCAAAUUAGUUACCAAGCACAAGAGGAAAAUCAAGCCUAGGAAGAUGGCCCCUCCGAAGGCCCCUAGGAGAGCGGGUGAAACCAAGGAGAAGGUCCCUAAGAAACCAGAUGAGGCCAAGGAGGAGCCUCCCAAGGCAGACAAGGUCAAAAAGGCAGCCAAGAGGCCAGCAGAGGUGCAGAAGUUUCCUCUCAAGCCAGGUGCAGCCACAGAAAAAGCUGGCAAGCAAGGCAGCAAGGCCAAGGACACCAAGGCACAGCCAGGCGAGGCUCAGAAGCUGACCCCCAAGCCAGACAAGGCCAUGCGGACCCCUUCUAGUGCCAGCAGGUUCAGCAGGAAGACAGAGGCCAAAGGCAGCAGGAGGAUC